rnacentral:rRNA from 1 species
AAGUCGAGCGAACGGACGAGAAGCUUGCUUCUCUGAUGUUAGCGGCGGACGGGUGAGUAACACGUGGAUAACCUACCUAUAAGACUGGGAUAACUUCGGGAAACCGGAGCUAAUACCGGAUAAUAUUUUGAACCGCAUGGUUCAAAAGUGAAAGACGGUCUUGCUGUCACUUAUAGAUGGAUCCGCGCUGCAUUAGCUAGUUGGUAAGGUAACGGCUUACCAAGGCAACGAUGCAUAGCCGACCUGAGAGGGUGAUCGGCCACACUGGAACUGAGACACGGUCCAGACUCCUACGGGAGGCAGCAGUAGGGAAUCUUCCGCAAUGGGCGAAAGCCUGACGGAGCAACGCCGCGUGAGUGAUGAAGGUCUUCGGAUCGUAAAACUCUGUUAUUAGGGAAGAACAUAUGUGUAAGUAACUGUGCACAUCUUGACGGUACCUAAUCAGAAAGCCACGGCUAACUACGUGCCAGCAGCCGCGGUAAUACGUAGGUGGCAAGCGUUAUCCGGAAUUAUUGGGCGUAAAGCGCGCGUAGGCGGUUUUUUAAGUCUGAUGUGAAAGCCCACGGCUCAACCGUGGAGGGUCAUUGGAAACUGGAAAACUUGAGUGCAGAAGAGGAAAGUGGAAUUCCAUGUGUAGCGGUGAAAUGCGCAGAGAUAUGGAGGAACACCAGUGGCGAAGGCGACUUUCUGGUCUGUAACUGACGCUGAUGUGCGAAAGCGUGGGGAUCAAACAGGAU